UUAGAAUAAUGUGCACAGAGAAGCUCUCAAAACAAUGUCGUGUGUUUUCCCUCUGUGUGAGUCAGAGUUCCACUUGAGAGCCUCCAGCUACUCAAAAACUCGCCUGCUUUUCUCUCUCAGCAAGUUCAGGCUCCAGAAACGGUUAUGGCCGUUUGACGUUUUAAAUGUGACUACGUGAGAAUUUCAGCUUCCAUUUGGAGAAAAAUAAAGAUUCUGGCUAUCAAAAGGUGAAUUUUCCACACCUGAUUUAUGCUGCAGUUGCACAACAGCUAUGUCUGAUGCAAAGGGAGUGAUGGCAGCCUUUGGGGCUGGAAGGGCCUGAGGCUGUAGAGUGUCCUUGGUUCCGAGGCCUAGAAGGAUUGCUUUGUCUGACCAAAAUGUGGAGACCGUAACUAACACUCUAUAUGGAGUUCAGAGUUAUGCACUAAUGCAGUGCAGGAUUUCAAAACUAUAAAAGCUAAAAACUUAAGACAUCAUGUAGAGCAUGAGAAGCCAGCUGGUGAAUGGUCACAAGCCAGACUACCCACAGGGUGCACACAAGUGUCCACAGAAUGACCAUCUCUGCACUGUGGUGACCUGGGUGGUAGCUCUGCAUCAUUUCUGCAAGCACAGUUUGUCCUGCUAUGUGCACAAAACCCCAGUCCCACGCUCCGUGAGGUUGACCCUGAGAGCCACAAUGCAGCUGACAGAGUUAACGUUUAAAAAUAAAAGAUGCCUCCACGGGAAAAUCCUCAUGGGUCAGAAAAAGGAAGAUAGUUCUGGUGAGCUUCAAAUCUAUUGUCCACAGGAGAAAUCUGAAAGAAAUAUGAGAGAAGAAUAAUAUCCCAUAUUCUUUCUCUCGUCCCUGAAAUUAUGGAAUAUCUGAAAACUGAACUUUGCUGUAAGAGGACAAAAUGAAUGACCAAUGUAAAAUCAUUUGGGGUCUCUAUGUGAAAAUAUACCUAUUUGUCUGCUUUUAAGUAGAAACUCUCAGGAAAAAAAAAAAAAACAACAACCAAACAAACCAAAAAAACACAACAAACCCAAACUCAAAGAACAACCUUACAUUUUUUAAUCAGUCUAUCUGACAUUUUAAAACUGACUUCAUUUUUGUCAUGGGAAAGGGAAAAAGGAACCUUUUUGCUUUAGUCAUGUAUUUUCCCCUCAAAAGAAAAAGCAGCUAAAUUAAGGGCUUUAGGACAUGGAAACAAGUAAAGCUCCUAGGGCAAAUCACCUAGAGAGAAGUUCAGAAGUUAAGCAGUCAGUGUUACUGACUAUACCUCUCUCAUUGCAUGGUAAGAUUAUUUUCUAAAAAAAGUACACCAUUGGCAUCCAUAUCUUCCACUAUAUUUUAAGGUAAGAGACUGGGGAAUUUGUCUGAAGACCAUAAAUUUCAUCAGGAUUCAGAAUGACUGAUACAAGAUGUGUUAAUUGCAGUUAAACAAACAGAUUACUGGCAACAAUCAAUAGAGUAGAAGAGAGAAGCAGGUUUACAGAGAUAUGAGAAUAUCCUGUGGGUUUCUUCAUCUUUUUUUUUGUUGGAGGGUUUUAGGGUUUUUUUGGUACACCUUUUGAAUGUUAAUAUUCUGCUGAAGAAUGUUUCGGUCUGCAGCGUAGCUGCUGUACUCGGCCAGGCAGGAUCCACUGCAAAGCUGCAGGGCUGAAAUUAUAGCCUUGUUUCAAGAAAACAACAGCAGUGUGAGCUACUUGCUUCUUACACACAAAAGAGGAUUUUCAGAUGAGUUUGUGGGGCUUUUUUUUUUGUACAAAAUUCUAAGCCUUAAAAAUGCAGCUUUUUAAACUUGUGUAUUCACCAUUCCUUUGACAGUCCCUGAUCAUUUCUGUUUAGAAAUACAAGUGCAGAAGAAUGAAAACUAAAGAAUAUUGUAACUACCCCUAAUUGUUGUGGGAAGGGGUUCAAGUUCCUUCAAAACUAGAUGAAGGUGACCAACUCCUCAGGAAAAAAAGAAAAAAGAAAAAAAGAAAUGAAAAAUAAAAAAAAAAAGAAAAAAACCAAGAGGAAAAAAAAAGGAAAAAAAUGGAAAAGGAGCUUCAUUACAGUGGUUAUUCCUAAAGUUUUAUCUUCUUCUAUUAGUUGGUCCUCUGUAAUUUUACCAGUUGGUGGCUGAGACAUUAUUGUUACUGAGGUUUAUAAAUAUUUGCUGACCCCAGUCCCAUGAAAGAGUGGUUGUCAUCCUGCGAAUGUUUCACCUACCCAUGCUUCAUGCUGCUUGGUGUUCUCUUUCUUUUCCUUCCUCCUACUAACACAAUGUUCAGCUGACACAGCACUGUUUUUUGAUCACUUUUCAGGCAUUUCUUUUCCUAGGAAUACUUUGCAGGUAAUUUCAGAGGUGCCAAUACCAGGCCUAGACUGUCUGUGUCAUCCAGCAGUGCCUCCUUCCUGCUUAAAGGAAGAUCCAGUGUGCAAAGGAGAAGAAAGCAAAGGUGGGCAGACACCCAGAUAGACAUUUUAGGGAGCAGACAUGCCAGGCAGGCAGUAGCACAGCAUAUGCUCUGCUGUCUAGAAACAGCCAAGUUGAAUCCCAAAUCCUGGCAACUCCCUUGAAGUGGCAGAUCUGGUGAUAUAAAAAAUAUUUUCUUGCUAACUGUGUCUGUAAGCCUGACUCUGGUUUUAAGUAAGAAGAAGAAAUGUUUGACAUUGAACUAAACUGCUACUUGACUUACUUCAGGCUUCCUUCCAAAAUGUUUUUCCAAUUUCAAACACAAGUUAUUUAUGCCUCUGGAAAAAUGCUGCAGUGCUACAGGCACUGAGUGCCUGCUGCCUUCCAUUGUGGGGGGCACAUGAAUUUUGUCAGGCUGCAGCAAAUCCUGGUCCAUCCCACAUCCAAACAUUUUUGGUCAUUGUGUAUGAAACCACAGCUACAUUUGUUUUUCAAGCCUCUCCCCCACAGCUUAGAGGAGGAUCAGCUGCAGUUCAUCCAUCCCGCAGCAGUGCUCUUGCUUAAAAGACUAGAAUUAUGGAGGUUUAUUUAGCACCCUGAUAAAGAAAUAUCUCAGGAUGUUGUUAUUUUGUUUCUGUUUCACAUUUUCCCAAAUACUGCAGGAGUUGCAAUGUACAAAUAUGCACAAAAUUAUUUUAAUUAAAUACAAAAGCAAAUUAAGCUCUUGAAAGUAGAUUAAUGAAUAUUCUCACUGUGAAAAACAUAAAAGUUUGUGUUAGCAGAACUCUUCAGAAUGCAUUGAAACAAUAUGUACUAUAUGUGAUCUCUUACAAAAAGCUGAGACACUAGAGUGCAUAAUCUCUUGCACAGACUUUUUACACUAACAAGAGUCUGUAGAGAAAGGUGUAAUUUAGCUUUUCAAGCUGCACAAGGCUCUUCUUACUCUAUGUCUAAAUACAACUGAGGAAGUGUCCCAUGCCAUAAGACAGAAAGAUCUAGAAGGCUUCCAGAAAAAGUCCUACAUUUUCCCUUUCCUUGUAUUCAACAAGAUGCUUUCUUUCCUUGCAUUAAGCAGUGAUUAAUAUUAGCAGAUCACUGUAAUCUUUGCUGCAAAUAAAAUAUGUAAUUAUUUUGCCUAUCUUUGUCAGUUUCUGCCCAACCUGUUUCUACUAAGAUAGAUUUUUUGCUUUGUUCUUGCAACAGCAUAUGCAAAUGAAUUUCAGUCUUGCAUGUGUUUCAAACCCUGUGUUUCCAGCAUUCACUCAGUUUGUUUAUUUGGUUUAUAUGAUGGAAAGAUUGGUACUAAGAAUACACAAAUAACCACUACACACCUUUACCUAUAAAUGUCUUUGAAAGCAUUUGUACAAGGAAGAUCAGUUCCUGGAAGUCAAUGUAAACAAAAACCUGUCUGCAGGACUGAUAACGGAAAGAAAGGUUUUAAAGAUUGCUUAAAAUUUAGUGGGUCUACUUGUAGUCCAAGUGUAUAUUUGGAAGCAUUGUUGAGCAGCACUGGAACACUAUAGCAGUAGCAGCAUCUGUUGUCCUGCCAGGAGGGAAAAGACCACACUCCUGCACACAAAUGAGUCUUGAUACAGUUCCAAGUGAUGCCAGGCUUCUUAAACAUCAUGAAGUGGGGAGGGAAGGCACAUGCUGCCUGUUUUCAGGCAAAAUUUUGGAUGUAGCCCUUUCAUUUGUGCUCUAACAAUGCCAAGCAGAUGGGAGGCUUUCCUUUGUGCUUUAGCAGGCAGUCUGCAAGGGGAGAAAAAGAGCCAGCCCUGGUACAGCUGAGGCUGUGCUGACUCAUCCAAGCUGAGGCUCUGGCUCUAGCUGCGGCACUUGGAGUUAUUUAUUUCCCUUUUCUGCUUGUCCCAUCCAUCGGGUAAAGGUUGCUGCUAUUUCUAGCAAAGGCAGCAAAAGGAGGGGUGGCUCUGAAUGAUGGCUAUCACAGCUCACAGCAGGACAACCAGAGCCCCAAACACAGCUCCCUGAUGAGCUCACGUAAAGGAGCUGGGCUGUGACUUGUCCCCACUGAAGUACAGCUCGCUGCAGGGGUGAUAACCUUUGGCAGAAGGUAACCUGGGCAGGAGGGGACAAGAACGCAGCCACCUUCUCCAGGAGCCACGAAGUACUGGCACUAGCUGCAUAUCUAUUGGUGCCAGGGCACCUAGAUCAUACCAAAGUAAAGCUUUCAGAUAAUUUCCCAAAGGUAGUGACAGUGCGGUAUACAAGAAAUGUUCCUGCUGGUGCACUAAAUGUCACCUAAAGCCAUGUGUUGACAAUAUUUAUGAAGGAAGAGUAACAGCAUUUCUCCUGCUUCAGGUUCUUCAGAACCUCUGUCAGGUUCUGUUUAUUUGAGGGCUCCAUUAAUCUUAUUUUCUUUUAAAAGAGAAAGACAUUUCCUAAUAAUCACACCCCAAAGAGGGAGGUGAUGACUCUGAUCAAGGAAAUGUGGAGCAGUGUUCAAGCAAAGCAGUGAUUCUUGUGUGGAGUUUGGAAGUUCCUAACUGAGGACUAUUUUGGAGAGCUUGGCUGGCCAGCAUCUCUGGUAUGUUUGGAAGCAUCCUAGGGAGAUAUUUUUGUAAACCACCGCGAUAAGGCAGUCUAUUAAGGGUAAUUUAAUACUGCUGGGCAGUCAUUUCAAAUCAGCCUAUCUGUGGAUAUUGCUAAAUUGACUGUAGCAAAGAUAGGAAAUUCACACCAGCUCCCCCAGUGCAGCAGAGAAUUUUUCCAUCACAGUCCCGAAGUCUAGUAGAAGCUUUCUGAAAACAUGAUGGUGAUUCAGUCUUGUGACACCUCACUUUCUCUUUUCUCCUCUUGAGAAACAAGACCAGACUUUGAAUGAAGACAUUAUUAUUCCAGCCCUCAGAGGAGUCUCUGGCACAUCACUGGGUCUCACAAGGAUAUGUAUUUGCUCUGGAAAGACUGAAAUAUUAAUGAGAUUGGAAAGGGAGGGCUUAUGUGCUAAUGCAGCUGUGCUCAGACAGCUCUGCAUCACUCUGCUAUGGGCUUUUGUUUAUUCUAUCAGUUUCUGUAGAAAAUUCUGUUCACCCUUUAAAAAUUCUUUUAGGAAUUAAAAAUCCUUGAUGUAAUUAAAGCAAAUAUACUAUACAUGCUGUAGAAUUGGAGGGAAUAUGUGCAAAUUUUUUUAUGUUAAUUUUUUUAAUAUCACAUUUAUCUUAGUUUCUUCUCUGUCAGUGCAAGGAGGUUAAGUGAAAGGGUUACUCUCACACUGGAGAGAUAAGGCCAAAUAAGGACAGGCUAAAACUCUUUAUUGGAACACACCAGAGAGCAAAGCUCUUUUACUCCAGUGAGGAUUUCAAGAGUUUUAUAUCUCAGCCAUGACCUUUAAAUGAAAGUGCUGGACUAACAGCAGGGAGCUGAGACCAGAUUCUGUUCACAGUGACGUCUGGAGGGUGUGUGAGAGAACAGCCCUGAUGCUGCUUCUGUACUGCAGUCAGUGUUGUCCCAAAUAUGGGUUGUUCCCUGAGUGCAAGAAGAUAAGUAGGCAGAUAGACAGAUGGAUAGAUAGACAGAUAGACAGAAGAUAGACAAAUAGAUAGAUAGAUAGAUAGAUAGAUAGAUAGAUAGAUAGAUAGAUAGAUAGAUAGAUAGACAGAUAGAUAGAUGAAAAAGAAAUAUUUGUUUACCCCCUGCUCAGAGAUGGGUGCUGGGGUAAAUCCACAGACCAGCACCCUCUCUGCAUGCCAGCUCACCAUUUUUACAUCCUUCGAACAGUGACAGAUCAACACCUCCUCUGCAGAAAAAAAUAUUAAACUACAUUCAUUAGCCAAAUAUUUUGUCACCUUCGUUUAAAUACAACUGAUUGUACCUGUUAUGCUCUGUGGGGAAGGGGAUUAUGUGACUAAGGGGAAUCUACAGCCAAUGGGUGUGAACUUUGCUGUGCCAAUGGCUACGGGUUAGCACAAAAAUUCAACUCAAAUUCUUGCUUGGAGUUAUCAACUGCUUGUUCCUGCUUUAUCUCCUUGUUUGGUGGAUUUAUGGUGCCAUUCUCCUCCACUUCUUGCCUUUUUGGUAGAUUUAUGGCAUUGUCUUGUUCUCAGGUCUCCUAAUUUGGACCUUGACCCAUGGAUCCAUAUUUCUCUCCUGCAGAGAGGGCAAUUUGAUUCUUCUCUGUCUUACACAUAUAGCAAGAGGUUUGGGUGCAACUUGUGUGGGCAUGACCUGACUCUAAAGCAGCUCACGUGUCAGGAAUGACACACAGAAAUCCACAGCACUCUGCCAGAACCACACAGGGAUUACUGAUGGGUACGUGUUGGGCCUUCAGGGAAAUGCACCCAUCCUUGCCACACAACUGGCAGGAUCUGAGCUCUCUUUCAAAGGAAGGAUCCAUCAUUAACAGCUGACUGGGAGAGAAACGUUAACCUAUCUGUUGACUGAUGCAGCUGUCAGCAGGGCAAACUUCUCCAGAAACCAGAGAUAGGGUUUGUGAGGUUGAACAGACUUUAAAUGUUUCCAAAAAGAGGAUUUUGUGUGAAUUAAAGGAAAUAUGAAUAAAAAUCUUGUCUUUUUUUUUUUUCUUUUCUUUUUUUUUUUCUUUUUUUUUCUUUUUCUAUGCACUGUGAACUUCAAGACAAUGUGUAAUGCUCAAUUUUGACAAAGUGGUCCAUGAAGCGUAAAUUAAUGAUCUUUUACCACAUACAGCCCCAAAGGAGGCUUGGUGUGUGGCUGAUGGGUGGCUGCCUAGUCUGUGAGCCCGUUGGGCCAGGUACACAAGGAUUUUGCUGACUUAGAGCCCUACACAGAGGUAUUACACCUACUCACAUGAGUUGUGAUCUCAUGGAAUAACUUCAAGGAGUCUAGCUAAGGAAUUGUAAUUUCUUCUCUGAUCUGGAGACUGCUUGGUAGGAAUUUGGUUCAAAAAACAACAAACUUGCCUAUGUCAAUGAUCACAGAGAAGCAGCCCACAAACGCUCAUGAACUGCAUGGAAGAAGAUGAAAACCUUUGAUCUAUAACAAGACUGAGAUUGUGGCAGUGACCUGAAUUCUCUUCAACACAGAAUCUAAUUUUUUCCCAGCCUUGUUUAUUUAAAUAUGAUUAGCCAUAUGUCUGUGUUUAUGGCAAAUGUGCUAUUCACACAGAUGUCAUCUAUAUUAUAAGAAAGCUAUUGAUUUUCCACCUUGCACAUCCUGCUUUCAGUGCUUCUGGAGUUCCUCUGAGGAGUUUUGGAUUCUUUUAAUAGAUAGAUUUGGUGAAAUUUCUGUGAAAUGUGAAGCUCCUAUGGCUCCUCUUCUUUUGUUGCCAUCACUCUAAAAGCAGCUGACACCAAAGCAAUUUCUCUGUUUUCCCCUCUUGGAACAUCAAUGAACAGUCCCCAUCAUGCCCUUAAACCUCUGCAUCAUCAUCUCCAUGGUCUAGCAGGAGCAGCAAGGAGUCAAAGGUCUUUCUCAAGGCAGCAGAGACCCAGAAGGCUUAUAAUCAGUUCUAAAGCAGGAUGUGUGAAGUGUUGUCCAUGUUGAAGUGACCUCAUGCUAGUUUACCAUAGAAAAUGCAUCUUCCAAUUUUAAUAAAAUUGUGAAACACAAUGAGUCAUAUCCCUCUUCCUUCUGUUUUGUGUGAAUUCUGGUUUUACUGUGAGAGAACCAGUGGGGCAACCACCUUCAUGUCCAGCCUCUCAUCCACCAGCACCCACAAGCCCUUCUCCUCAGGGCUGCACUCCAUCCCUUCUCCACCCAGCCUGUGUUUGCUGCCCCAAACCAUGUCCAGGACCCAACACUUGGCCUUCUGGAACUUCAUAGGGUUUGAAUGGCCUCACUGAUGGCAUUUUUUGGCAUACAUGUAUGGCUUUUUUUAAAGUUUUAAUUUUUUUUUUUUUUUGAGAAACUUCACUCUAACAAUUCCUAUAAAUGCCACAGCGUUGCCAUGGUGACAGUAGGCUUUCAUAAGCUUUCAGAUAUAGCAGAACUUAUCUUUAUUCAUGAUGUUUGGCUGCUACUUAGUCUUAUAAAGCAGGCAUUAAAUUUACCAUUAAUAGCUCCACUUCUGUAUUCUAUCACUAUUUUUGGUUAGGCUUUGCAACAGAAUGAGAUAUUUGGGGUUUUUUUGCUUUUUUUUUAUUUAUUCUUAUUUUGUAUAGGUUCUUUUACAACUUGAAAAUUGUAAUUUUUUUCUAAAGAAUCUCAGUUUAAGGUUUUCAGAACAUUUUUAUUGAUGCUGUCUGAUCAUUUUGGAUAGAUUAAAGCAAAAUCUCACUGGUGCAAAGUUUAACUACCUGUUAAAAUCUUGCCAGUAUUUUCUGUGUUUUGUCUUUUGUGAUGAACAGCAAAGUUGGAUAACCAGAAAAGAGUGACCACAAAAUAUUACUGUGCAUUGGUCAGUAGUGUAAAAAUGAGAUGCCUCAUCUGUUUACCAUAUGGAUUUUCUGGUGCCAGAGGCCUGCACUACACAUUGCUGCUUUUCUUUCUUAAACAUGAUUGGCCCAUGGCAAUUUUUUCUCCUCCUAUCUUGUCAUUUCACAGUGUUAUGCUUUAGGUAGAGUUUUAUGCCUUAGGACUUUUUUUUUCCCUGUAGUUUUUUCUUCUGUUUAGGAUUCCAAGUUCUAUCUGCCUGUUGCCAAAGCUUUUCUUCUCCCAGGAAGGGUCAUUGUCAGACAUCAUCAAGCAAGAAGGUAUACUGUAGUGCCCUAGGUAACAAAAUAUAAAAUCAGAGCUUUAAAUCUGUUGAGGAGUUGUGAUUUUCUUUUCAUCUUUCCUCUCCCCAAGAUAAAUUUACAGGCUAUCUGGUCAAGAUUAUUAUUUUUAGUCAUUGUAGUUCUUACUGUAAAUAUGGACCAAUCACUUCCUUUAAUGUGAAAUCACAUCCAUUAACCAACCCUGAGUGCGUUGUGCAGAAAAAUGCAGCUUAUUUCCCUGAGGUACUCUGGUAUGCUGACCCUACACAUCUCACUAGCAAUUAUUUUAAUACAGCGUAAAUUUACCAUAUGACACAAUAAUCUCAGCUUCUCUGAGCUCCUCUCUGGGCCAUAUAGAGAAUUGGU